UGAACUUCUCGGCCUUUUGGCUAAGAUCAAGUAUAGUAUAUGAUCUUAUCAGUUUAAUAUCUGAUAUGUUCUCUAUCCAAGGACAAUGUAAUAAGGUGAGAAGUAUCACCAUACCUGAUUUUAACCUAUACUACAGAGCCAUAGUAACAAAAACAGCAUGG
rnacentral:snRNA from 1 species